AUGAAACAGGAAAGCGGGGUCCUGCCUGCAGCGCGUCACAUACUUGAGGCCUCGCCCGGCCGCCUGCCCCUCGCCCGCGCCCUGACAAGCCGCCGCACGUCCUACCCUCCCGGGGGCUGCCUCGGGCCGAGGGGCGUAAGGAGGGAUGGGUCGGGGCCACGGGGCCACGGGGCCACGUCACACAGGACUCCUCUGUCCGUGAGGGACUUGGGUCGUGCCCUGAAUGCAGCGAGGGGCCUCCCGCGCAGGCUGGGCUCUGAGACCCCGGGCCUGGGAAAUCCGGCACGUCGUCUGGCCUGGCCGUGGCACGGGGAGUGGGAUGGGGAGCGCCCUGCGGCUCCCUCUGAGGGUCUGGAGCAGCAGCCUCUUGUCGGAGCUGAUGCCGUCAUCCUGAGCUCAGCCCGGCGGGGCAGGGCUGGGCCAGGGGUCGCCGGGGCUCGGCCUCGGAGCUCGGAGCCGUGGCGCAUCUCCUCUGGGCAGCCUGGAGGCCGCCAGCGGUGGGGUGGGAGCCGGGGACUGACUCUGCUGCCCUCUGAUCUCACCUGCACACCUGACGUUUGUGGGGGACCUGGGGGGGUCCCACCACUGCAGCCUCAGGCAGCCUCGGGGUGGCGGGGAGGCUUUGCCAGGGUGUUAGGAGUGGAGCCGGCACCUGCACGGGCCUGGCAAGGUCCCCCUGCCUGCUCAGAGGGGCAUCCAUGCCUCAGGGCAGAGGGUCCCUGGGCUGAGGUUCAGGGCCUGGGGCCGGACCCCUCCCUGCUUCAGGCCUCCAUGCUUCUGGUCACCAAAGGAGUGUGGCCGGGACGGGUCCUGGGGCAGCCCAGGCUCCCUGCAGGCAGAGAACCAACGAGGACCCCUCUGAUGAGCAAGAAAGCCGGUGGGUCUGGCCGUGCGUCUGCCAAACCCCAGCUAGCCUGGGGAAGGGGUUUCAGAUGCCUCCCAGACUCUGUCCCCCCCCCCCCCGACCCCCAGGAGCCUCUUCCUCUCUUGGCAUCAGACCGCCAAGCAAGCUGA
rnacentral:lncRNA from 1 species